rnacentral:rRNA from 1 species
UACGGAGGGUGCAAGCGUUAUCCGGAUUUACUGGGUUUAAAGGGUGUGUAGGCGGACUGGAAAGUCAGAGGUGAAAUCUCCGAGCUUAACUCGGAAACUGCCCCUGAUACUAUUAGUCUUGAAUAUCGUUGAGGUAGGCGGAAUACAACAUGUAGCGGUGAAAUGCUUAGAUAUGUUGUAGAACACCGAUUGCGAAGGCAGCUUACUAAACGAUGAUUGACGCUGAGGCACGAAAGCGUGGGGAUCAAACAGG